GAUCAUUACUGAAGUGAGUCUUCAUUCAUUGAAGCUUCUUCCCAUUGUGCUGGCUUUGACCGUAUGUAAAGUUGGGGAUUAAACAUGGUUCAAAAUUUAUUUUGUGGCCGUCCCCAACAAUUUAUCUCAUCCUUUAUAAAUUUGAACUGAACUCAUUUUGAGAUUACUUAAAAAAAUAAUCUUAUUAUACAACUUUCAACAACGGAUCUCUUGGUUCUCGCAUCGAUGAAGAACGCAGCGAAAUGCGAUACGUAAUGUGAAUUGCAGAAUUCAGUGAAUCAUCGAAUCUUUGAACGCACAUUGCACUCUAUGGUAUUCCGUAGAGUAUGCCUGUUUCAGUAUCAUGAACACCUCACUACUAUAACUUUAUUGUUAUGAUAGUGGAUUUGGAAUGCGCUGGUGUCAGUCAGCCCUUCUAAAAUGGAGUUCUUGCACUGUUGAUUUGUUUUAACAGCAAUGUUGGCCUAAUAAGUUUCAGCAGCAAUGUUGAAAUCACUGGCUUUUUUUGCUUAGAAUCGGACAGUCUUGAUAUACAGAAUUUUUGAGGUGACUUUUGUCUCCUCUUCAAAUUUUGAUCUGAAAUCAGGUAGGAUUACCCGCUGAACUUAAGCAUAUCAAUAAGCGGAGGAAAAGAAACUAACAAGGAUUCCCUCAGUAACGGCGAGUGAAGCGGGAAGAGCUCAAAUUUAAAAUCUGGCUUACUUGUAAGACCGAGUUGUAGUCUGAAGAAACGUUUUCCAUAAGCACUGAGGCACAAGUCCCUUGGAACAGGGCAUCAUAGAGGGUGAGAAUCCCGUCCAUGGUCUCAAGUUGCUUAUUUUGUGAUACGUUUUCAAAGAGUCAGGUUGUUUGGGAAUGCAGCCUAAAAUGGGUGGUAAAUUUCAUCUAAAGCUAAAUAUUGGCGAGAGACCGAUAGCGAACAAGUACCGUGAGGGAAAGAUGAAAAGAACUUUGAAAAGAGAGUUAAACAGUACGUGAAAUUGUUGAAAGGGAACCGUUUGAAGCCAGUCUUACUUGCUCGUGAUCAGUUUGUGCCUCGGCAUGAAUGCACUCUCGGGUAUGGUAGGCCAACGGCAGUUUAGAAUGCGAGAAAAAAAUUUGGGAAAUGUGGCCUUCGGGUGUUAUAGUCCCUUAUGAAAUAUCGUGUUCUGGACUGAGGAUCGCAGUAAAAAUGUGGGCAGGUAGAUUUCUGUGGUGAAUGAUUAUUAGGACAACUUGUUGACCUAGUUUUCAUAAGCCUCACUGUUUGCCU
rnacentral:rRNA from 1 species